rnacentral:rRNA from 1 species
CGACGCCGCGUGCGGGAGGACGCCCUUCGGGGUGUAAACCGCUGUCAGAGGGGACGAAUGACGAGGGAGGGAAUACUUCUCUUGAGUGACGGUACCCUCAGAGGAAGCGCCGGCUAACUCUGUGCCAGCAGCCGCGGUAAGACAGAGGGCGCGAGCGUUGUCGGAAUCACUGGGCGUAAAGCGCGCGCAGGCGGACCUGUGCGUCCGGAGUGAAAUCUCGCCGCUCAACGGCGAGGCUGCUUGGGAAACGGCAGGUCUGGGGACCGGUAGAGGCCGGUGGAAUUGCUGGUGUAGCGGUGGAAUGCGUAGAGAUCAGCAAGAACACCCGUGGCGAAGGCGGCCGGCUGGGCCGGAUCCGACGCUGAGGCGCGAAAGCGUGGGGAGCAAACAGGAUUAGAUACCCUGGUAGUCCACGCCGUAAACGAUGGGCACUAGGUGCCGGGGGGAGCGACCCCUUCGGUGCCGCAGCUAACGCGUUAAGUGCCCCGCCUGGGGAGUACGGCCGCAAGGCUG